rnacentral:rRNA from 1 species
UGGGGAAUAUUGGACAAUGGGCGCAAGCCUGAUCCAGCAAUGCCGCGUGUGUGAAGAAGGCCUUCGGGUUGUAAAGCACUUUUAUCAGGAGCGAAACGCUGUCGGCUAAUACCCGGCGGAACUGACGGUACCUGAGGAAUAAGCACCGGCUAACUUCGUGCCAGCAGCCGCGGUAAUACGAAGGGUGCAAGCGUUAAUCGGAAUUACUGGGCGUAAAGCGUGCGUAGGCGGUUUCUUAAGUCUGCUGUGAAAUCCCCGGGCUCAACCUGGGAAUGGCAGUGGAUACUGGGAGGCUAGAGUGUGUCAGAGGGUGGUGGAAUUCCCGGUGUAGCGGUGAAAUGCGUAGAGAUCGGGAGGAACAUCAGUGGCGAAGGCGGCCACCUGGGACAACACUGACGCUGAGGCACGAAAGCGUGGGGAGCAAACAGGAUUAGAUACCCUGGUAGUCCACGCCCUAAAGCGAUGCGAACUGGAUGUUGGUCUCAACUCGGAGAUCAGUGUCGAAGCUAACGCGUUAAGUUCGCCGCCUGGGGGGUACGGUCGCAAGACUGAAACUCAAAUGAAUUGACGGGGUCAUAGCUGUUUCCUG